GCCUCUAUAGCUCAGUGGUAGAGCGCGUCACUCGUAUUGAUGCUAUUCUACGGUAUUAAUAAUAUGCGAUAUGACGAGGUCCAUCGUUCGAUCCGGUGUGGAGGCA
rnacentral:tRNA from 1 species